UACACGAGUGGCGAACGGGUGAGUAACACGUGGGUGACCUGCCCUGUACUUCGGGAUAAGCCUGGGAAACUGGGUCUAAUACCGGAUAUGACCUUCUCCUGCAUGGGGGUUGGUGGAAAGCUUUUGCGGUACGGGAUGGGCCCGCGGCCUAUCAGCUUGUUGGUGGGGUAAUGGCCUACCAAGGCGACGACGGGUAGCCGGCCUGAGAGGGCGAUCGGCCACACUGGGACUGAGACACGGCCCAGACUCCUACGGGAGGCAGCAGUGGGGAAUAUUGCACAAUGGGCGCAAGCCUGAUGCAGCGACGCCGCGUGAGGGAUGACGGCCUUCGGGUUGUAAACCUCUUUCAGUAGGGACGAAGCGCAAGUGACGGUACCUACAGAAGAAGCACCGGCCAACUACGUGCCAGCAGCCGCGGUAAUACGUAGGGUGCGAGCGUUGUCCGGAAUUACUGGGCGUAAAGAGCUCGUAGGCGGUUUGUCACGUCGUCUGUGAAAUCCCGAGGCUUAACCUCGGGCCUGCAGGCGAUACGGGCAGACUUGAGUACUGUAGGGGAGACUGGAAUUCCUGGUGUAGCGGUGGAAUGCGCAGAUAUCAGGAGGAACACCGGUGGCGAAGGCGGGUCUCUGGGCAGUAACUGACGCUGAGGAGCG
rnacentral:rRNA from 1 species